CUACGCCCCGUGAAACGCCGCUUGAAUACCCAGCUCCCCUACUCUUCCCGCUCUUCCUCUGAGGUUUCCUCACACCUCUCCUGCGAUCGCUAGUGGCGCUUGAUACCGUCCUGUACCGCCUCAGCUGCGACGUCCGAGCUCACGAAGGCGACGUAGAUCUUAUCUUGUCUCUCCCUCUGUUUCGCCCUCUUCUCUCGUUUACGUGCGAGCCUUUGAUCUUAUUCUCCGCUUCGAUCUUCUUGCUUCUGAGAUUUUCUUAAAGUCAUCUCCUAGAUCACCCAAAUUCUGUUCAGGAUCGGAAUUUCUAGGGUUUUCAGUGAAAACCCUGGCAUCGAAACUCCAAGAUUCUUGGUUUGAUUGCUCUGAAUUUUCGUGAUCAGGUUCGUCGCAUCUGUAUGGCAUCGAAACUCCGAGAUUCUUUGUUUAAUUUUUCUGAUUUUUCGUGAUCGGGUUCGUGGCAUCUGUAUCUGUGGCGAUUCUGGAUUCACGGCGUCCUCCAGGGACAAGACGAUUAGGUUCUGGACCCCGAACCUGGACCAAAAGCACCGAUACGUUCCAUGGAAGACUUGCUGGGCUCUCCAGGGGAUCGUUUCGCUGGGGGGUGGGAUUGUGUCUGGAGGGAUCGACACUCUCGUGUUGCUGUGCGACUUGAGCAAGAGAGAGAUUGUGGAGACGAUGAAGGGACUUCAGUAUUAGAUCACUGGUCUCACCGUUGAUGAAAUUGGUUGCUGUGCCAUCAUAUACUGAGCUCUUGUCUUAUGGUGCAAUACAAUGGUGGUGGAAAGGUCAUGCUAUUGAGUUUUGGGAGGCUUAUAAGGUUGCUGUUCAAGCAGUUAUGAAGCAAUCUAGUGGUUUGAAUGAUACAACUCUUAAGCUGUGGGGAGGAAGGACCUGUUUAAACACUUUUAUGGGGCACACAGAUAUAGAACAAGAUGAUCUGGCAUGGACAGUACAGAGAUAGGCACUAUCUAAUGCGCCAACUGACAGAUAUUGAAGUCCUGCCCGCCUUCAGUGGUCUUUCCAGCUAUGCUAUUCUUUUGGUCGAAAUAAAGGAUACAGCCAGUGACAAGUUCUCUAUGCAGCACUUGAAAAAAUUGAUAGAUUGGAAUUAAUUAAUUUAUAUGGACACCGGCGUGACAUGGAUGCAAAACGGUGCUAAAACAAAUUAUUUAUUAAAGGACAUAUGCGGCAUUAGAACAAAAGAAUAAAGUCUUUUUGAAACAAGAGGGAUUUAAGAGCAUUAAAUGAUGUGGGACCCGUGUGUACUUAAAAGCAACAGAGGGAAAACACAACAUUGGCUGGGCGUGAGUUCAAGGAUUUAAAAUGAUGUGGGAUGCGUGGAGGACUUUUGACGUGCGGCUGGGCUUCUUCAUGUGGUUGGCACAUGGGAUUCAAACGGGCAGCAGUUCACGCGGAAGCUGGGAGCGCAUGGGGGUGUUUUGGCAGGCUUCAAAGCAAUGGAAGAAUGGACGCAUGCAGGUUCACGGCGGACAGGUUUGUUUGUGCACGGAUUAAAUGUGAGGCAGACUGAAACUCAAACAAAUGGAUAGUCACGCAGCAUGCGGAAAUGACUGCAUGCGGCAGACGGGCUUGAGAUACAGGACACACUUGGGAUGCGAGAACAAAGGCACAAUUAACACGGAUUGAAGCUCUAUUUAAAGAGAGGCGAAGAUGCACCGAAUAAUUUUUCAUCCCACCACCCGGCCACCACCAUUAUCCAUCUCUUCUCACAUCAAUUCUCUCUAUACACCUCCACCCUCUUCUCCACUUCCAUCCUCCUUCCAAGUUGCAGUUGGGCAUUUUUGCGAGCACCAGGAUUCCAGCAAUCAGCUCCAUCAUGCGCUGCUAAUUCUGUUCAACGCGAAAAAAAGAGGAAGCUUUUGUACUGAGUAGUUUGUUUUUAUUUCUCAAACUUUUGUAUUCCGUUCUUAUUGCAAUAAGAGAAAUUAUUCUCUUA